CAGACCUGAAAUCAGGCGAGGUUACCCGCUGAACUUAAGCAUAUUAUUAAGCGGAGGAGAAGAAAAUAACUAUGAUUCCCUUAGUAACGGCGAGUGAACCGGGAUCAGCUCAAAGUGGAAAUCAACUGCUCUUUCCGAGCUGUUGACUUGUAGCCUCGAGAGGCGUUACCAGUGGAAGCGCAGGGUUAAGUUUCUUGGGAAAGAACAUCAUAGAGGGUGAGAAUCCCGUCCUUCCCCUGCGUUUUUUGUUCCACGUACGGUACGCUUUUAUAGAGUCGCGUUCAUCGGGAUUUGAGCGCAAAAUGUGUGGUAGGUUUCACAUAAAGCUAAGUACUGGCGCGAGACCGAUAGCAAACAAGUACCGUGAGGGAAAGAUGAAAAGUUCUUUGGAAAGAGAGUUAAAAGUGCCUG
rnacentral:rRNA from 1 species